rnacentral:tRNA from 2 species
GCGGGCGUGGCGGAAUUGGCAGACGCGUCAGGUUGAGGGCCUGAUGGCCGCAAGGUCGUGGAGGUUCAAGUCCUCUCGCCCGCA